rnacentral:rRNA from 2 species
AACCUUUAGCAAAACAAGUAUUAAAGGCAACGCCUGCCCAGUGAAUGAUUAAACGGCCGCGGUACCCUAACCGUGCAAAGGUAGCGUAAUCACUUGUCUAUUAAUUGUAGACCCGUAUGAAAGGCAUAAUGAGGGCCUAACUGUCUCCUAUAAUAAAUCAAUUAAACUGAUCUCCCAGUAAAAAAGCUGAGAUAUAAACAUAAGACGAGAAGACCCUGUGAAGCUUAAACUAAACUAUUAAAUCUAAUAAUAAAUCCUUUCGGUUGGGGCGACCUUGGAAACAAAAAGAACUUCCAAACAUAUGACCUAAAAUCAUAUCACCACAGGCCUACAAGCCAAAAUAUAGAUCCAGCUUACUAUGCUGAUAAAUGAACCAAGUUACUCCAGGGAUAACAGCGCUAUCUUCUUCAAGAGCCCAUAUCAAAAAGAAGGUUUACGACCUCGAUGUUGGAUCAGGACAUCCUAUUGGUGCAGCCGCUAUUAAGGGUUCGUUUGUUCAACGAUUAACAGUCCC